rnacentral:rRNA from 1 species
UGCAAGUCGAGCGGACAGAAGGGAGCUUGCUCCCGGAUGUUAGCGGCGGACGGGUGAGUAACACGUGGGUAACCUGCCUGUAAGACUGGGAUAACUCCGGGAAACCGGAGCUAAUACCGGAUAGUUCCUUGAACCGCAUGGUUCAAGGAUGAAAGACGGUUUCGGCUGUCACUUACAGAUGGACCCGCGGCGCAUUAGCUAGUUGGUGGGGUAAUGGCUCACCAAGGCGACGAUGCGUAGCCGACCUGAGAGGGUGAUCGGCCACACUGGGACUGAGACACGGCCCAGACUCCUACGGGAGGCAGCAGUAGGGAAUCUUCCGCAAUGGACGAAAGUCUGACGGAGCAACGCCGCGUGAGUGAUGAAGGUUUUCGGAUCGUAAAGCUCUGUUGUUAGGGAAGAACAAGUGCGAGAGUAACUGCUCGCACCUUGACGGUACCUAACCAGAAAGCCACGGCUAACUACGUGCCAGCAGCCGCGGUAAUACGUAGGUGGCAAGCGUUGUCCGGAAUUAUUGGGCGUAAAGGGCUCGCAGGCGGUUUCUUAAGUCUGAUGUGAAAGCCCCCGGCUCAACCGGGGAGGGUCAUUGGAAACUGGGAAACUUGAGUGCAGAAGAGGAGAGUGGAAUUCCACGUGUAGCGGUGAAAUGCGUAGAGAUGUGGAGGAACACCAGUGGCGAAGGCGACUCUCUGGUCUGUAACUGACGCUGAGGAGCGAAAGCGUGGGGAGCGAACAGGAUUAGAUACCCUGGUAGUCCACGCCGUAAACGAUGAGUGCUAAGUGUUAGGGGGUUUCCGCCCCUUAGUGCUGCAGCUAACGCAUUAAGCACUCCGCCUGGGGAGUACGGUCGCAAGACUGAAACUCAAAGGAAUUGACGGGGGCCCGCACAAGCGGUGGAGCAUGUGGUUUAAUUCGAAGCAACGCGAAGAACCUUACCAGGUCUUGACAUCCUCUGACAACCCUAGAGAUAGGGCUUUCCCUUCGGGGACAGAGUGACAGGUGGUGCAUGGUUGUCGUCAGCUCGUGUCGUGAGAUGUUGGGUUAAGUCCCGCAACGAGCGCAACCCUUGAUCUUAGUUGCCAGCAUUUAGUUGGGCACUCUAAGGUGACUGCCGGUGACAACCGGAGGAAGGUGGGGAUGACGUCAAUCAUCAUGCCCCUUAUGACUGGGCUACCGUGCUACAUGGACAACAAGGGCUGACCGCAGGUUAGCCAUCCC